AUAUAAGUAAGCGGAGGACAAGAAACUAAACAGGAUACCCAUAGUAAUGGCGAAUGAACAGGGAUGAGCUCAGCGUGGAAAUUGGGGCUUGUGGCUUUGACUUGUAAUCUGUUGAAGCAUUGCCAACAGAGGCGCAGAUGUAAGUCUCUUGGAAAAGAGCACCAGUGAAGGUGAGAGCUCUGGUUGCCAUUUGCAGCCCCCCUGUGCACGGUGUGUUUACUAAGAGUCACGUUCCUCGGGAUUGGAGCGCAAAGUGGGUGGUAACUUUCAUCUGAAGCUAAACAAUGGUUUGGGACCAAUAGGAAACAAGUACCAUGAGGGAAGGGUGAAAAGGACUUUGGAAAGAGAGUUAAAAGUGCCUGAAAUUGCUGAAGGGGAAGCGAAUGGAACCAGUGGUGCUGGGCGAGAUUGUCACACGGCACAAGGAUUGGUUGCUGCUUUGGCGUAAGUGAUCUGGCAAUUCUUGAGUUGUGAAUGCGUGGUGUGUCUUGCCGUGCAUGUCAUUGUGGGCUUUUGCAUUAAGACAAUUCAAAUUGCAUGAAAGUAUGUUUCCGGAUGUGUGAAUGUGGUUUGUGAUGUUUGUGCAUAGGCUUAUUGCUGUAUGUCUGGCCGCAGAGCUUGCCAGCCCCAACGCUUGCUGCAGGUGUGCUAAGCAUUUCCUUCUGCACAGAACUUGACUAAAUGGUUCUAUUCGACCCGUCUUGAAACACGGACCAAGGAGUCUAGCAUAUGUGCAAAUGUGUUGGCUUUACACCUGUCUGUGCAAUGAAAGUGACUGCUGGGAUACUUGCGCCAGCAACCGACCAAUCAAUUGAGAGCGGUUUGAGUAUGAGCAUAUCUGUUAGGACCCGAAAGAUGGUGAACUAUGCUUGAGAAGGGCAAACUCAUGGGAAACUCUGAUGGAGGCUCGUAGCGGUACUGACGUGCAAUCGUUCGUCAUACUUGGGUAUAGGGGCGAAAGAUUAAUCGAACCAUCUAGUAGCUGGUUCCCUCUGAAGUUCCCUCAGGAUAGCUGGAGCUGAACAGUUUUAUCAGGUAAAGCGAAUGAUUAGAGGAAUCGGGGACGCGCCGUUCUCGACCUAUUCUCAUACUCUAAUGAGUAAGAUCCAAUGGUUACUUGGGUGAA
rnacentral:rRNA from 1 species